rnacentral:rRNA from 1 species
AGUGAACGCUGGCGGCAGGCCUAACACAUGCAAGUCGAACGGUAGCACAGAGGAGCUUGCUCCUUGGGUGACGAGUGGCGGACGGGUGAGGAAUACAUCGGAAUCUACCCUGUCGUGGGGGAUAACGUAGGGAAACUUACGCUAAUACCGCAUACGAACUGAGGUUGAAAGCAGGGGACCGCAAGGCCUUGCGCGAUUGGAUGAGCGUAUGUCCGAUUAGCUAGUUGGUAAGGUAAAGGCUUACCAAGGCGACGAUCGGUAGCUGGUCUGAGAGGAUGAUCAGCCACACUGGAACUGAGACACGGUCCAGACUCCUACGGGAGGCAGCAGUGGGGAAUAUUGGACAAUGGGCGCAAGCCUGAUCCAGCCAUGCCGCGUGUGUGAAGAAGGCCUUCGGGUUGUAAAGCACUUUUGUUGGGAAAGAAAAGCGGUCGGUUAAUACCCGGUCGUACUGACGGUACCCAAAGAAUAAGCACCGGCUAACUUCGUGCCAGCAGCCGCGGUAACAC